AUUGAACGCUGGCGGCAGGCCUAACACAUGCACGUCGAACGAGUGGCGGACGGGUGAGUCAUGUCUGGGAAACUGCCUGAUGGAGGGGGAUAACUACUGGCAACGGUAGCUAAUACCGCAUACCAUCGGAUGUGCCCAGAUGGGAUUAGCUAGUAGGUGGGGUAAAGGCUCACCUAGGCGACGAUCCCUAGCUGGUCUGAGAGGAUGACCAGGCAAAGUGGAAAUGAGAAACGUGCCAGGAUCCUACGGGAGGCAGCAGUGGGGAAUAUUGCACAAUGGGGUCAAGCCUGAUGCAGCCAUGCGGGGUGAAUGAAGAAGGCCUUCGGGUUGUAAAGUACUUUCAGCGGGGAGGCGUGACCCGCAGAAGAAGCACCGGCGAACCCCGUGCCAGCAGCCGCGGUAAGUC
rnacentral:rRNA from 1 species